UAGUAACGGCGAGUGAAGCGGCAACAGCUCAAAUUUGAAAUCUGGCUCUUUCAGAGUCCGAGUUGUAAUUUGCAGAGGGCGCUUUGGCGUUGGCAGCGGUCCAAGUUCUUUGGAACAGGACGUCACAGAGGGUGAGAAUCCCGUACGUGGUCGCUAGCCUUCGCCGUGUAAAGCCCCUUCGACGAGUCGAGUUGUUUGGGAAUGCAGCUCUAAAUGGGAGGUAAAUUUCUUCUAAAGCUAAAUACUGGCCAGAGACCGAUAGCGCACAAGUAGAGUGAUCGAAAGAUGAAAAGCACUUUGGAAAGAGAGUCAAAUAGCACGUGAAAUUGUUGAAAGGGAAGCGCUUGCAGCCAGACUUGCCUGUAGUUGCUUAUCUGGACUUUUGUCCGGUGCACUCUUCUGCGGGCAGGCCAGCAUCAGUUUGGGCGGUUGGAUAAAGGUCUCUGUCAUGUACCUCCUUUCGGGGAGGCCUUAUAGGGGAGACGACAUGCAACCAGCCUGGACUGAGGUCCGCGCAUCUGCUAGGAUGCUGGCGUAAUGGCUGUAAGCGGCCCGUCUUGAAACACGGACCAAGGAGUCUAACAUCUAUGCGAGUGUUUGGGUGUCAAGCCCAGACGCGUAAUGAAAGUGAACGGAGGUGGGAACCCUUUGGGUGCACCAUCGACCGAUCCUGAUGUCUUCGGAUGGAUUUGAGUAAGAGCAUGGCUGUUGGGACCCGAAAGAUGGUGAACUAUGCUUGAAUAGGGUGAAGCCAGAGGAAACUCUGGUGGAGGCUCGCAGCGGUUCUGACGUGCAAAUCGAUCGUCAA
rnacentral:rRNA from 1 species